AGAAACUGCCUUGGCCCAUUUUAUUGGAUAGAAAAUUAGGUAGGCGGAGUAGACAGAAGAGAAUUCUGGGAAAAAGAAGCUGAGUAAGAGUCGCCAUGAUGCUCCCACUCCAGACAGACGCAGGUUAAGAUCCUCCCUGUGGUCCCUGAGCCUUUGGCGCAGGAGUUGUUACACGGACAUCAUCAGUUGGGACUGUUCCACAUCCCUGUAUUUUGAUUGAAGAACCAGAAUCUUGUGUGUCUUCCUCCUGCCCUGCGUUUCUGAAGGCCAUCCGCAGGGGAGGGGCAAUUUUAAGAGAUCAUGUUAAGAUCCUGCUGGAAGUUUCUGUGCCAAUAAAGAUGCACCAUCCCACGAUGCCUCUGUGAAUAACGAGACCCCGAAGAGGAACACAUCAUCC